GAUGAACGCUGGCGGCGUGCCUAAUACAUGCAAGUCGAGCGAACGGACGAGAAGCUUGCUUCUCUGAUGUUAGCGGCGGACGGGUGAGUAACACGUGGAUAACCUACCUAUAAGACUGGGAUAACUUCGGGAAACCGGAGCUAAUACCGGAUAAUAUUUUGAACCGCAUGGUUCAAAAGUGAAAGACGGUCUUGCUGUUACUUAUAGAUGGAUCCGCGCUGCAUUAGCUAGUUGGUAAGGUAACGGCUUACCAAGGCAACGAUGCGUAGCCGACCUGACAGGGUGAUCAGCCACACUGGAACUGAGACACGGACCAGACUCCUACGGGAGGCAGCAGUAGGGAAUCUUCCGCAAUGGGCGAAAGCCUGACGGAGCAACGCCGCGUGAGUGAUGAAGGUCUUCGGAUCGUAAAACUCUGUUAUUAGGGAAGAACAGAUGUGUAAGUAGCUGUGCACAUCUUGACGGUACCUAAUCAGAAAGCCACGGCUAACUACGUG
rnacentral:rRNA from 1 species